CAAAUUAAAACUUAUAGGAAGUGUUUUAUUUACAAUAAAUUUAAAUUGUGCGAAUCAAUAUAAUUUGA
rnacentral:tRNA from 1 species